UACGGAGGGGCUAGCGUUGUUCGGAAUUACUGGGCGUAAAGCGCACGUAGGCGGCUUGAAAAGUUAGGGGGUGGAAAGACCCGGACGCUCAACUCCGGAAUUGCCUUCAAAACUACUUAAGCUAGAGUUCGGAAGAGGAGAGUGGAAUUCCCAGUGUAGAGGUGAAAUUCGUAGAUAUUGGGAAGAACACCAGUGGCGAAGGCGGCUCUCUAGGUCCGAUACUGACGCUGAGGUGCGAAAGCGUGGGGGA
rnacentral:rRNA from 1 species